CAAGCUUGUACAGCCUGCAGAACUGUGAGGCAAUGAAACCUCUUUUCUUUGUAAAUUACUCAGUCUCAGGUAUUUCAUAGCAACAUACAAAUGGCCUAACACAGUAAAUUUGUAUUAUUUGUUGAAUGUUAUGAAUGCUAUCAUGUCUUAGUUUGUUUCCUUUUUAAGGAUGUUAAAUAUUUUUAUGCAAAAUAACCAAAUUACUGGUAGAUCCUGUGGAGCUGUUUUCUUUGGUUAUGAUGUCACUAUUUCACUUUUCAAUGAAAUCCUAGAAUGUUGCCUUUAUGUUAAAAUGUGAGUCUUGUGUAUGAGACAUAUCAUUUUCUGGGAUCUCAAGUGGAUGCUCAAGGUGUGUAGUGAGGUUUCUACACCGUUGUUUUGUCAGAACAUCAAUGUCCAUGAGUUCUACAGGACCUCCUGUAUCUCCGUUCAGCUGCCAACUCUGUAGCAAGUCCUUCCUGCAAGGCCUUAAGGAGUCUCUUGUGGAUGCGCGUCCAGCCCUGUGCAAGGCUUCAAAGCAUUUCCUGAGUAAACCCUUAGUCAAUGACUCAAGUCAUGCUAUGAGCAACAAUUUCUGUGUUCCACAUCAUGCACAAGCAACACAAUUCUGUGACUCUCCAUCUGUUCCCAAGUUAUGCUUUGGCCAGUAAUCCAAUUGCUACCAUCGUACCUUCCUCUUAAAGAGUCCUUGGAUAUUCCUUCGUAGCUGGAGGGAAGUUACUUCUUUAGGGUUAUUUGGGCACUUGGGGAACCUUUGUCAUCUUUAUGACUUAAAUUUGACUUCCAAAAUAAAUAAGACAUACAAGGAAAGAACAUCAAUUUAAUAGAAAAGUUCAACAUAUUUCCAUGUGGAUGUCUUUUUUACAUUAAUUUGGCAUCUCCUUUCUGUCCUACUCAACCCUCUUAAAUAGAAAACAGAGAGUCAAUUAUUUGAUUGGCUGUAUUAGGGAAAGAAUUAGGGCCAAACCUGUUUGUCCUUUUGUUCUCUGUUUAUUUGGAAAUCUGAAAUAUAAUCUAUUCUUGGAUUAUCUGCAACAUAAAUUUUCAAGGGCAGGGAAGGCUGAAGUCUUCAGUUCAUCAAUAACUGGUUGGGUUCAAUGCAGGGUCGCUGAACAGGAAGCACACUUUUGCAGAGGAGGGAGCCAUUCUGUGCAAACAGCCUGAUCAGUAAUAAAGGCAGUGAUUUUGUUGUC